rnacentral:lncRNA from 1 species
GUACAGCCUGAGCAGACGACCCACGAGGAAGGUCAGGAUCAAGCAGAGUGAAGGAAGGAAAGCUAGAUUCCCUGGAGGCUGCCUGAGAGCUGCUUGCCAGUCCCGGAGGAGGAGGCUGAUGUAAUGGUGUAUAACCUCCAGGUCACUGAGCUGCGGAGAACAGCCCAAGGGGCCCUUGGCAAAGACGAUGUUGCUUUCAUCUGGUCUCCUGCGGAAACAUAGAAUCCAUUGUUAAACAUUUGUCAGCACACCCAUGAGUAGAAGUCUCAGUUUUGCUCUCAGAGAGGCAUAAAUUCUGACCGACUCCUGGCUUUGGGAAAGAGGUAUUUAAAAUUCACUAGACUAUAUCGGAGGAAAUGCAGCAUCCACCCCAAUGACUUCUGAUUAUAUGUAAAGAAAGAGAAACAGAGCAAGAGAGAAAAGAGAGAAGAAGAAAAAAGAGAAUGUGGAAGUUCUGGGGCCAAGAAUCGAACCCAUGCUGCAGCAAUGACACCAGAUCCUUAACUGGCUGCACCAUCAAGGGAUCUCUUGGUUAAUCUUUUCUAUUGUUUUUCUGUUCUUUAUUUCAUUUAUUUCUAUUUACUCUUAGUUUCUUCCUUUUGCUAACUUUGGGCUUAGUCUAUUUUUAUUUUUUUCAUUCCUUAAGGUGUAGAAUUAGGUUGUUUAAUUGAGAUCUUUCUUGCUUCUUAAUAUAGGUGUUUAUUUCUAUCAACUUACCUCUUAUAACAGCUUUUGCUGCAUCCUUUAAGUUGUGGUAUGUUGUUUUCCCCAUACAUUUUAAAACAUUUUAUUUACUUAUUUUUUUGGCCAUGACCAUAGCAUGUGGAAGAUCCUGGGUUGGGUACAGAACCUAAGCUGCCGCAGUGAUAAUGCUGGAUCCUUAACCCAAUUCACUACAAGGGCACUCCUGCAUUUUUGUUUGUCUCAAGAAAACUUUAAAUUUCUUUAGUUUCUUCUUUGAACCACUGUUUUCUCAGAGCCCCAAUUCUUUACCCUCCUUGUAUCCUCACCCUUUAAAUUUGCAGUUUCUUUCAUUUAUGACAGAGUCUAUUUCUUUAUUCCUUGAAUCUGGACUCAUCUUGGGAUUGCUUUGUCUCAAGAUGAUUUUGUUUUCUUUAAUCAAUGUUGUUUCUUGGUUGCCCUUUAGCCAAUGGAUUAUUAGCAAACAUGGUACAAGGAGGAACUUGAAAAGUAUUGGUACAAUUGCACUUUCCAUGCUCUUACGAACAUCAUGAGAGGUCCAUGUCGAGUUGCCAAAGCUAUCCUAGCUAAAGCCAUCAUAGUUAAUUCAAGAAGCAUCAACCCUCAGAAAAUGAGUGAAUUGAGGCCAAAUCAGCUGAGUUUUUUACUUUUGAGUGAAAUAAAUAUUUGUUGCUGUCACCAA